UCAAUGAACAUCAUCCUGCAAAGAUUUUGUGUGACCUGGUUUUGGAUGGGAUAGAGAUAAUUUUCUUCAUAGUGGCUGGUGUGGAGCUGUGUUUUGGAUUUUGGGUGAGAAUAACAUUGAUAACACACCAAUAAACAUACUAGUUGUUGCAGAACAGUGCUUACACUGAGACAAAGACUUUUCUGCUUCUCACACUGUCCUGCCAGUGAGGAGACUGAGAGUUCACAAAAAGUUGCACGGGGGCAGAACCAGGACAGCCAAUCCAAACUGGCCAAAGAAAUGUCCCAUACUACAUGGCAUCAUGCUGAACAAUAGAACUAGGCUGGGGGGCGUAACACUGCUUGAGGACCGGCUGGGCAUCAGUUAGUGGGUGGUGAGUAAUUGCAAUGUGUAUUACUUGUUUUUCAUACUAUUAUUAUUGUUAUUUUAACUUCCUUCUCUGUCCUAUUAAACUAUUUUUAUUUUAACCCAUGAGUUUUAUCUUUUUACAAAUCUCUCCUCCAUCCCACUGUGGGGGAGUGUGUGAACAGCUGUGUGGUGCUGAGCUGCUUGCUGGGUUAAACCAACAAUUUGUUAGGCUCCACUUCUUCCUCUAGCAGUCCUAUUUUACUAUUUAAAAGUAAGGUAUAAAUUUAAAAGCAAGUUAUGUAAUUUCUUUUCCACUGAUAUGUUUUAUCAUUUCUUAGUGCAGGAGCCAAGACAAACUCUGAAGAUAUAAAGACAGGGAGGAAAACAGUGCAAAUUCAUAACAGUUUUGUGAAAAAUGAAUGCAAAGUAUUGGAUAAUGGGAUAACUUCACCUUUUCAUUACCAAGCUGAAGGCAGAAGUGAAACAGAAACUAGACCUUGCUACCACAGAGUGCUCUGUCAUCACCUACCAGCCACACUAACUUGGAAUAUCCUUAAAAAAGCUGGAAAUGCUACAGAGAAGUGUGUUGGAAUUAAAUCCUGGCAGAACUGGGGAUAACAGAAUAAAAUAUAUAGGAAGAGACCUUUAUGUUUUUUU
rnacentral:lncRNA from 1 species